UUAGCCGGUACUCGCGAAUGCUCUAGAUUANAGUUUGAUCAUGGCUCAGACUUGAACGCUGGCGGCAGGCUUAACACAUGCAAGUCGAGCGGGGAAGGGUAGCUUGCUACCUGACCUAGCGGCGGACGGGUGAGUAAUGCUUAGGAAUCUGCCUAUUAGUGGGGGACAACAUCUCGAAAGGGAUGCUAAUACCGCAUACGUCCUACGGGAGAAAGCAGGGGGAUCUUCGGACCUUGCGCUAAUAGAUGAGCCUAAGUCGGAUUAGCUAGUUGGUGGGGUAAAGGCCUACCAAUGGCGACGAUCUGUAGCGGGUCUGAGAGGAUGAUCCGCCACACUGGGACUGAGACACGGCCCAGACUCCUACGGGAGGCAGCAGUGGGGAAUAUUGGACAAUGGGGGGAACCCUGAUCCAGCCAUGCCGCGUGUGUGAAGAAGGCCUUAUGGUUGUAAAGCACUUUAAGCGAGGAGGAGGCUACUCUAGUUAAUACCUAGAGAUAGUGGACGUUACUCGCAGAAUAAGCACCGGCUAACUCUGUGCCAGCAGCCGCGGUAAUACAGAGGGUGCAAGCGUUAAUCGGAUUUACUGGGCGUAAAAGCGCGCGUAAGCGGCGUAAAAUANUCUCCAUGUUNAAUUCCCCGAGCUUAACUUUGGGGAAUUUGCUUUCCGAUACUGGUUACUNAAGUGUUUGGAGCACGCUUGUCAAUUCCCGNUGUUACCGGGAAAAUGCGUUAAUUCUGGGGACGUNCCGCUGGGGGGCCUCUGGGCCUACACUGAGUAGGGUACNACNCUGCGNUGGNNGCGNUCGCUNUAAGUCCCUGGGCCGCUGCUCNUGGGGUCGNGUGUGCCUUUCCGNGUGCGCGNAUAUUCGGCGGUGCUCUUGCUCUCUCCNUNNUCGCCGUCAGCUGNCGNUGCUCNNNG
rnacentral:rRNA from 1 species